AAGACUAUUCUAGCGUGCCUAUGGAGAUAGGUUGGAUAAACCGAACCACAUAAUUUCUCGUCGUGUUUACUUCAGUUUUGAAUGUGUGCGUCUUGUGCAAUCUGUGUGUGUUUAGUUUUGUCCUGUUUGGUGCCACAACCGAUCAUCAGCAGCAACUUGCGGCUGCUGUUUCUGUUUCUGUUAUCCGACCAUUGCCACCACCUGUGGUCACUGUUGUGUUUCUCAAGCAACCAGAAAGUUCGUUCAGGUCAGCCGUGACACCCCAAAGAAAUGGUACCAGAGCUUCAGGCUCAGUUUAAUCAGAGAUCAUGACAGAAGAAGGGAAGAUCAACAAGUUUGAUGGAUAUGCCAGAGGACUAUCUGUAUCAGAAAAAGCCGUUGUCUGGAAAAACCAAAAGAUAUGCUUGAUGCGGACUGGGAUUUGUUGGAUCAACACGAAAAAAUUACGUUUUGGAUUACUGAAGGCCUUAUCAAACAUGUACGGAAAGUCGUCUGCAUUUCGAAUUCAACAAUUAGUAAAUACUAGAAUGAAAGAAAAAAGGUUACUUUCACAAAGUCAGGCAAGAUACCUAAAGCCAAAAAGUUAGGGCGUUUUCAUGCGAAGGCCUACAGACCAACACCAGUAUUAUUUCAAAUUCAUAGACAAUUCGACUUGAAAGGUAUGAGUUUACUUUCUUAAAAAUAAAUCUGAGGUUUUUACUAUGUUAAGAGAUGGAACACUGUUGUUGAAAAUGAAACUAACUUGAGGGUCAAA